AGAACCGCGAGAGAGAGAGCUGAGAGGUGACGACGGAGUUGUUGUUCUGUUCUAACGUUUGCUGUCACAUAGAUUUCUGCAUUGGUCUAAUAUUAUCUUGUGCAGCAAUUUUUCUUUUUCCAAGGACUUGUUCUGAUUAAACUCUAUGCAUUUCUUCGUUCUCAGUUUGGUUUCGGUUAAGUCAUUACAUUGUAGUUGAUGCAUUGGUUUUUUGAUGCUCUCAUCAACUUUAUAAAUAAGCUAGCUAUUGGGAGUUUGUAAUUUUCAUUUAAUUUUCCCCAAUUUCUGCUGCAAAAUCUCUACUGAGUUUCUGAAUUUCUGUCAACCCUUUAAUAGGUUUUGGUCAGUCUUUUAGUAAUAUCCUGUGUUUAUUUGUACAAAAAAAAGAUCAAGACUUUGAUGCUGGUAAGGGGUUGAAGAGACAAUUUUUGGAUAUACUAUCUGACAUUUUUGUCACCUGUCUUGAAUCAAUAUGAUUCAUUGGAUGGGAAAAAGGGUUUUUAGGUAAUGAGGAUAGUGUCUAGGACUAGCUGGUGUGAAUCAGUGACCCAUUAGCAACGGUGAAGAUACACGUUUAGGGUUUAGGGGUUUCAGUUUUCAGAGAUGGAAAAUAGAAUCAAAUGAUUACUUGGUAGAAUCAUAUUUGAAAAGGUCUUGAAUUGAAGGAAAAUAGAAUCACAGAUGUCAAAAAAAAAAAAAAAAAAAAAAUGUUCUCUCCCCAAAUGAAAUAUUAGUAACAUUUAACAACAUACCACCAAAGUCUUUUAUUUUUUUUUGUGUGCAUAAACCAAACUCUAUAACCCAACAACUGCUCAUUGACAAUUUAAAGCUAACGUUACACAAAACCAACGGCGUCGUUCUCAUUCUCUACGCAUAAUCAGAAGGAAGCCUAAUAAGUACUAGAAACAAUGUUAAUGGGCCGAAGUAGAAAUAGAAAUAGGCCUUAUAAUAAUUGAGCCCAUUUAACCUGUUAACGUUGUCAAACGUCCCACAUCGCUUAGAACAGUAGCCGAAGCUGCGUUUAUAUAUGGUUAGAGUCGGAAGAGUGAUUGUCCCUUCGGGGACAUCCGAUAAAAUUGGAACGAUACAGAGAAGAUUAGCAUGGCCCCUGCGCAAGGAUGACACGCAUAAAUCGAGAAAUGGUCCAAAUUUUUUUUGACCCAAAAUUCUGAUGAAUGUGUAACCCUAGAUCUAUCUCCAGUUUUGUAUUUUUAGCUAUUGCAGCUUUGAUUUGAUGUUCGCUGUCCAAUGAGUUUUCAAUUUCUCAAUUACGAAAUAUAUCUUAAUGUUUUAAAUCUCUUUUACCGUAAUAACUUAUGCUACAAAGUUUUCCUGAUCGAUUAUGAAACCAAAUUAUCGUUGUUGUUGUUUUGUUCCAACGUUUGUUGUCAAAUAGAUUUGUGCAUUGCCCUAAUAUCUUCUGCAGCAAUAUUUUCGUUUUCCAAGGACUUGUUUUGAUGAUACUCUAUGCAUUUUUUUGUUCUCAGUUCGAUUCUUCAACUCGAUUAGGUCAUUACAUUGCCGUUGAUGCAUUGGUUUUUUUUUAUGCUUUAUAAGUAAGCUAGCUAUUAGUGGUUUGUAAUUUUCCCAAUGUUUCUGCAAAAAUUCUAUUGGUUCCAUUUCCUUUUCGGGUUCUUGAGUUUCUGAAAUUCUGUCAACCCUUGAAUUGGUUUUGGUCAAUCUCUUUAGUAAUGCCUUGUGUUUAUUUGUACAAAAAGAUCAAGACUUUGAUGCUGGUUAGGGGUUGAAGAGACAAUUUUUGGAUAUACUAUCUGACAUUUGUCACCUGUCUUGAUCAAUUUUAUUCAUUGGAUGGGAAAAAAGGUUUUUAGGAUAGUGUCUAGGACUAGCUGGUGUGAAUCAGAGACCCAUUAGCGAGAGUGAAGAUACACGUUUAGGGUUUAGGGGUUUUAGUUUUCAGAGACAGAAAUAGAUGUUCUCCAUUUCUAGCAAGUUUUGGUUACUCUUAUUAAAGCUAGACUGAGUCUUAUAUCCAAUUGGACAGGAAGGUUUUUAUGUGGUGGAUUAAUUGCCGUUACAUAUGUUUUAGCUUUAAACUCAGAAGUAACAAAUGAUUACUUCGUAGAAUCACAUUUGAAAAGGUCUUGGAAUUGAGGGGGAAUGAGUACAUUUGAUGAAGCUAUGUACCAUUGAAGAAGUUAGCCAAUGUUUUACUUGACGGGUAUCUAAUCUGAGUGUUCUUGUCUCAGAAUGUGGUUUUGGCCCUGUGAGUCAAAAAGGACUAAACAAGACCAACUUCUAGCCUCUAAUUAUGGAUAUGGAGCACCAGAUUUCAACUGAGGAAUCUAUUCAUGGCAGACUGAAUUGCAAAGAAGCAUUUACUUCACCAGUGAGAUGUUCAAUUCUCAGUCACAACAACAAUAAAGGGCAACUAAAGCUAAGCCAUAAACACAGUCAUAACCUUAACUUGAUUUUGCAGCAAAGACGAGGCCUUUUGUGUUUCCGGUUGCUAGUGGAUUGGCAACGAGAAGAAGAUCAAUGUCCGUGCUUUCAAUUGGUAGGGAGUUUUGGUUUCUAUGAAUCUUAAAUCAGUCUCGGUUUAUAUGAAACUUCUACUGUAAAAUGGUGUAUGUUUAUAUUUAAAUCAAUCUUUGAAUUUGUAUUUAAAAAGUUUAUAGAACUUGCUCUGUGUUUUGUAUUUAAAAAGUUUAUAGAACUUGCUCUAUGUUUUGUUUC